AUCCCCCUGUAUGGACAUUCUACCGUAGAAGGAUGACACAUAGUGAGGAGGUAGUGAGGAAUCCCCCUGUAUGGACAUUCUACCGUAGAAGGAUGACACAUAGUGAGGAGGUAGUGAGGAAUCCCCCUGUAUGGACAUUCUACCGUAGAAGGAUGACACAUAGUGAGGAGGUAGUGAGGAAUCCCCCUGUAUGGACAUUCUACCGUAGAAGGAUGACACAUAGUGAGGAGGUAGUGAGGAAUCCCCCUGUAUGGACAUUCUACCGUAGAAGGAUGACACAUAGUGAGGAGGUAGUGAGGAAUCCCCCUGUAUGGACAUUCUACCGUAGAAGGAUGACACAUAGUGAGGAGGUAGUGAGGAAUCCCCCUGUAUGGACAUUCUACCGUAGAAGGAUGACACAUAGUGAGGAAGUAGUGAGGAAUCCCCCUGUAUGGACAUUC